UUGCUUCCUUUUUGUUAUACCUUCGCGUGAAAGAAAUUCAAUGAGUUAAGUUGUUUGAAUCUACAAUAUAAGAAAGUUUAUGGGUCUGGAAAUACCAAAAUUGUCCUGCUGUUUCAUUAGCAUGCCACGUGGAUACCUUCUUAGCCUUCUACAGUAUUCUAUUUUUGAAAUGUUACGAUUUCUGGUUUUUGCAAUGCCUUCUCUCUCUUGCUACAUCACUUCUUUCUAUUUCUCUUCUUUCAUAUUGUUUCAAUAUUUCUAUUUCUCUUUCUCUCUCUUCUCUUUUUAUACGAAAACUGAGUCUUCUUCCUCAACCUCCCCUUCUCUUCUUCUUCCUCUUCCUCAACCUUCCUUAACCUCCCCCCUUCUUUUUCUUCCUCACCUUCAUUCUGUAACAACAUCAUCACCAUCCUCUUCUAACUCUUUUGUGGUUUAUUUUUCAGGUUAUAGACUGGAUCGAGUUUUACCGGUGAGUUUUGAAGCUUAAAAGGUUAUAGGCUGUAUCGGGUUUUACCGGUGAGUUUUGAAGCUAACAAUGUUAUAAACUAGAUCGAGUUUUACCGGUGAGUUUUGAAGGUGACAAGGUAUGGGUUCUUUUUGGUUUUCUCUCGGGGAUUAUUAUUAUAGUUAUUUUCUAUUUAUAUAUUACUUAUGGUUACUGAAAGGAAUUUUUGUAAGAACGGGACAUUGAAAUUUUCAUUUUUAGCCUUACAAUAAUCUGUAUGCAAAGUCUCUCCCUGUUUUGAUUCAAGAGGAAAUGUAAAAGUGAUUAUGGCUACCAACAGAAUUGAAAGUCUUGAUCAUGCUUUGUUACGACCUGGUCGUAUUGACUAAUAUGUAACACCAUUAUUAAGUUAACUUUGGGUGGAUCAUAGCUACUCAUUUGUCUCUGUACUCGACAAUCCUUAUUAUCCCAGUAUGUUGUUGUUCCAACCCAUUAAGUAGCAUUUACAACAUAAUCUUAAUUUAUCAUUUUAUCUAUCUGUAGAUACAUAUAUUAUCUUAUGCUACAGGUAGUACUGUUGUUUGGUUAUGGCCCUGAUGCUCCCCCUAGGAAGUUAUUCCUGCAAAGGAAGAAUCUUGAAGUUCAUGAUUUCAAGGAGGCCAAUUGUGCUUUUUUUUGUUCUGGGCUUUACUGUGGUCGUCCUACGUUUUAAUCCUCCCACUGCAGAUCACAAUUGUUGGAAUAAACCUGAGUAAAUUAACGGGGAACGACCUCUCUUACAAGUGAACACAUCCUCUUCCGGAUCAGAUGUUGCAGGUGAAACUACAGUAGCCAUGGCAUCAGCGUCUUUGGUUUUCAGAAAUACGAAUCCUACAUAUUCAAUGGACAAGUUCAUGCCUAUGAAAGAUCAAACCGAGUAUAUAACUACACAUUGGAUCCAUGCGGUCCUGUUCAUAUCACGGUUGGUGACGGUAGUAACUGGGAAAAGAUGGCGAUUACUCAUGCGGAUGAACCACGAAACUAAUAUGUUGAAGCUUACAGAAGGAAUAUUCAAUUCAAUGACAAGGAGAGAAUUCCAAUAGUAGAUUCUCAUCUCUCAGAUGCUCGCGUCUAUAUGCUAGAAAACCCUAAAGAAUUUGACGUUGUAAGGCGAUGGUUGCUACUAAUUGUUAGCUGAAGAUUUCGUUUUAUAUUGUUUGUCCUUCGAAGGAGUUGAGAAUUGAAGGAAAGAUGGUUACUGAUGGCCAUCCCUUAAAAAGUGAGAGAAUGGCUGCUGAUGGUCAUGCCUCGAAGAUACAGACUUCUAAGUUCGUUGAAGAUAGUGGACACUGAAAGACUAAUGAAAGCAUAUGUCUUCGGGACUUAGAUAAAAUUCAUAGAAUAUGUAUUCAAGUAUUACUACUUAGCGUGUUUUUUUUAGUAGUGUUUGUUUAAUACACUGCCACGCGUCGAAGACGGACUCAGGCGGGAAGAUUUGAAAUUCGAAGACGGUUUCGUAACCGUUCAAUAACAGAUGGCUUCGCUAGAAGUUCUGAUGAGAAACGUGGCAGCAGAUUAGUGCAGGACCGUUAAGGUCGAAACUAGUAUAAAUAGGGGUUUUUAUGUUAGGAUUCCGUGUGUUCAUUUUGUACAAAUCACUCACAUAUUUACUCAAGUAUCAAGUGUUACGAGAAAGAGUUCGCUGAGAAAAUGUACGUAUGACACCACCAUUUUAAUACAUGUGUAUUAUAUUUCAUUUUUGAAUACA